rnacentral:rRNA from 1 species
GAUGAACGCUAGCGACAGGCUUAACACAUGCAAGUCGAGCGCCCCGCAAGGGGAGCGGCAGACGGGUGAGUAACGCGUGGGAAUCUACCCAUCCCUACGGAAUAGCUCCGGGAAACUGGAAUUAAUACCGUAUACGCCCUACGGGGAAAGAUUUAUCGGGGAUGGAUGAGCCCGCGUUGGAUUAGCUAGUUGGUGGGGUAAAGGCCUACCAAGGCGACGAUCCAUAGCUGGUCUGAGAAGAUGAUCAGCCACAUUGGGACUGAGACACGGCCCAAACUCCUACGGGAGGCAGCAGUGGGGAAUAUUGGACAAUGGGGGCAACCCUGAUCCGGCCAUGCCGCGUGAGUGAUGAAGGCCUUAGGGUUGUAAAGCUCUUUCACCGGGGAAGAUAAUGACGGUACCCGGAGAAGAAGCCCCGGCUAACUUCGUG